rnacentral:rRNA from 1 species
AUACGUAGGGUGCAAGCGUUAUCCGGAAUCAUUGGGCGUAAAGCGUUCGUAGGUGGUUUGGCAAGUUUGUGGAUAAAUCUGGUCGCUCAACGAUCAAAUCGCUGCAAAAACUUCCAGACUAGAGAUUGGUAGAGGCAACUGGAAUUCCACAUGUAGGGGUAAAAUCCGUUGAUAUGUGGAGGAACACCAAAAGCGAAGGCAGGUUGCUGGGCCAUUUCUGACACUGGGGAACGAAAGCGUGGGGAGCGAACAGGAUUAGAAACCCCAGUAGUCC